rnacentral:lncRNA from 1 species
AGGAGAUAUUUAAUUUAUUAAAUCAUAAACCAGAAAACUUAUAAUAAAUAGUUUAAAUCUUUCAUUCUUAUAAUUAUAAUAGCUAGAUAAGGUAUUAGGGAGAAACAAAAAUUAGACGAAUAUGAUCAAAUCCCUCAUUCCUGAACAAACUCAAAAGGAGGUGACUGAAAUCUUGUCAUGAUAUUUUAUUAAAAUCUUUUUAGGAAUAAACAUUAGGACUAAAAUAUUUAAUCUUAAUGAAACAAUAUAUAUAUAUAUAUAUAUAGAGCUUCCAAUUUUAAAAAUCACUUCGAUUUGAUAAAGUGUAUUUCUGAGAUUUUCAGGAUCAAAUACCAUAUUAGAAACCACCUAUUUAAAAAAUAAUUUGCAUCAAUAAAAAUAUAUACAUUAGAGUAAGCACAUAAAUCAAAACCAAUUCCAUUUUUUUUAUU